rnacentral:lncRNA from 1 species
AGGCACAGGGCAUGUACAUCAACAUGGUCUCUAGCAUCAACAUAGCCCACAGAAUCAACAUGGCCUCCAGUGUGACCACAGACCAUGGACACCUUCAUGGCCCUCAGUGGCAGUACAGGUCAUGGACAUCAACAUGGUCUCCAGCAGCAACAUGGCCCCUGACAUCAGCACAGCUUCAGAUUCCAUCAAUCCCUUUGGUUACCAGCUACACCAUUCAGCAGCAAGCAGAAGUGCAUGUGAUUUCCUAGAACAGAGACCGUGUAGUUAGAACAGUCAUGAUCCAGCUUACGAGGACAGAGCUAGCAGCAAAGACCCAGACACGACCCCGGCACACAAAGCAUCUGCUUUUAAUUUUAUGUCUUCUUGAACUUAAUGUCCAUCCUCUUGAAAUAGGGUCCAGAGGAGUUCCACGAACAGCAAAUGCGAGAUGGAGAUGUCUCUUUUCUAAGAACUGAUAGAAGAAUCUUCUUAUUUGCAAGACAAAGACCUUGGAUUUUCAAAGACAAUGAACAUCAAGCCUUAGGAGCCGCCUAUUUUCAGUAACACCAGUGCUGCCCCACUUUCUGGGUCCAACGAGAGAAGAGGAGGGAGAAGGAAGCACACUCAGCUUUGGCAGGUUAUGCAGAUGCCUGAUGACACAUAGAUGACCUACUUCUCAGGCAGGGGCAGCAGCAUCAAUCACCCUCACUUGAACUAUUAGAGCUGUCAGCCUCUUGUUUAUAGAUGACAAUUCAAGGGUAGCUUUCCUUGAUUGGUGAAAUUCCCUCAAUUAAAUGAGCACAAUACUCACAAUCAGAGGCAGAAGCAAACAUACUCAGAAGCAGAGGUGAGUGGCCUCACCUGUUAAAAGGAGAAAGAGUAGAUUUUGACAUGAAAACUAUUUAGAUCUGAAAGUCAAGCUGUCAAUUUUUUAGCCUAAAGUGCAAUAUAUAUAUAUACAGACACACAUAUAUAUAUGUAUAUGCAGCACAUGUAUGUAGACAUAUAUAUAUAUAUAUAUGCAGUGCAAAUAUAUAUAUAUAUAUGCAGACAUGUAUGUAGACAUAUAUACAUAUGUAUAUAUGUAUUCUACAUAUUUAUGUAGAAUAUGAAAUUUUCUGGUAUCAUUAAAAUUUUAAAUAU